UACGUAGGUGGCAAGCGUUGUCCGGAUUUACUGGGUGUAAAGGGCGUGCAGCCGGGAAGACAAGUCAGAUGUGAAAUCCCGCGGCUCAACCGCGGAACUGCAUUUGAAACUGUUUUUCUUGAGUACCGGAGAGGUCAUCGGAAUUCCUUGUGUAGCGGUGAAAUGCGUAGAUAUAAGGAAGAACACCAGUGGCGAAGGCGGAUGACUGGACGGCAACUGACGGUGAGGCGCG
rnacentral:rRNA from 1 species